rnacentral:rRNA from 1 species
AUUGAACGCUGGCGGCAGGCUUAACACAUGCAAGUCGAGCGGAGAUGAGGUGCUUGCACCUUAUCUUAGCGGCGGACGGGUGAGUAAUGCUUGGGAAUCUGCCUAUUAGUGGGGGACAACAUUCCGAAAGGAAUGCUAAUACCGCAUACGUCCUACGGGAGAAAGCAGGGGACCUUCGGGCCUUGCGCUAAUAGAUGAGCCUAAGUCGGAUUAGCUAGUUGGUGGGGUAAAGGCCUACCAAGGCGACGAUCUGUAGCGGGUCUGAGAGGAUGAUCCGCCACACUGGGACUGAGACACGGCCCAGACUCCUACGGGAGGCAGCAGUGGGGAAUAUUGGACAAUGGGCGGAAGCCUGAUCCAGCCAUGCCGCGUGUGUGAAGAAGGCCUUUUGGUUGUAAAGCACUUUAAGCGAGGAGGAGGCUACUAGUACUAAUACUACUGGAUAGUGGACGUUACUCGCAGAAUAAGCACCGGCUAACUCUGUGCCAGCCGCCGCAGUAAGAC